AGAGUUUGAUCCUGGCUCAGAAUCAACGCUGGCGGCGCGCCUAACACAUGCAAGUCGAACGAGAAAGCAGGAGCAAUCUUGUGAGUAAAGUGGCGUACGGGUGAGUAACACGUGGAUUAUCUACCUUCUUGUGGGGGAUAACCCUGGGAAACCGGGGCUAAUACCGCAUAAGUCCGAGAGGAGAAAGCAGCAAUGCGCUGGAAGAGGAGUCCGCGGCCGAUUAGCUAGUUGGCAGGGUAAAAGCCUACCAAGGCUAAGAUCGGCAGCCGGCCUGAGAGGGCACACGGCCACACUGGCACUGAAACACGGGCCAGACUCCUACGGGAGGCAGCAGUGGGGAAUCUUGCACAAUGGGGGAAACCCUGAUGCAGCGACGCCGCGUGAGCGAUGAAGCCCUUCGGGGUGUAAAGCUCUUUCGGCAGGGAAGAUUAUGACGGUACCUGCAGAAGCAGCUGCGGCUAACUACGUGCCAGCAGCCGCGGUAAUACGUAGGCAGCAAGCGUUGUUCGGAGUUACUGGGCGUAAAGGGUGUGUAGGCGGUCCCCUAAGUUUGGUGUGAAAUCUCCCGGCUCAACUGGGAGGGUGCGCCGAAAACUGGGGGGCUAGAGUGCGGGAUGGGUAAGUGGAAUUCCUGGUGUAGCGGUGAAAUGCGUAGAUAUCAGGAGGAACACCUGUGGUGUAGACGGCUUACUGGACCGCAACUGACGCUGAGACACGAAAGCGUGGGUAGCAAACAGGAUUAGAUACCCUAGUAGUCC
rnacentral:rRNA from 1 species